rnacentral:rRNA from 1 species
AUUGAACGCUGGCGGCAUGCUUUACACAUGCAAGUCGAACGGCAGCACGGACUUCGGUCUGGUGGCGAGUGGCGAACGGGUGAGUAAUACAUCGGAACGUACCCAGUAAUGGGGGAUAACUAUCCGAAAGGAUAGCUAAUACCGCAUACGCCCUACGGGGGAAAGAGGGGGAUCGCAAGACCUCUUGUUAUUGGAGCGGCCGAUGGCUGAUUAGCUAGUUGGUAGGGUAAAGGCCUACCAAGGCAACGAUCAGUAGCGGGUCUUAGAGGACGCUCCGCCACACUGGAACUGAGACACGGACCCGACUCCUACGGGAGGCAGCAGUGGAGAAUCUUGGACAAUGGGCGCAAGCCUGAUCCAGCAAUGCAGCGUGCGUGAAGAAGGCCUUCGGGUUGUAAAGCGCUUUUGUCAGGGAGCAAAUCCUUGUGGCUAAUACCCACCGGGGAUGAGAGUACCUGAAGAAUAAGGACCGGCUAACUACGUGCCAGCCGCCGCUGUAACAC